GCAGAGAACUACAGUAAUAAUUCUCUCUUACUUUCUUUUCUUCCUCACCCUUGCUAUCUUCUUUUUUUUUUCUGUGUCUCCUUUCCAUUCUUCCUGUUGUUAUUUUACUGGAUUUGCUGAGGAAAUUGGGCGAUAAACUGGGGUGGGGACAGACAGUAAGGAGAAAAAGUAGGAGAAGCUAGAAGAAGAGGGAAAGAAAAGCAUAUUUCCUUUAUGCUACAGAAGCCAUCACAGAAACUGGGGAGAAAAGAAGGAAAGGAAAAUAUGUGGCCAUUCAAGAAUCAAAGAUUUGGUAGGAUCACAGCAGAGGUUUCCAAAUUUGAGAACUUUGAGACUUGUGGACUUCAACUCCCUGAAUUCUUCAGCCAGCAAACAACAACAUACAUUUUGCUGAAAGUUGUAAAUAUAGACUGAACCUGGAAUCUACAUACAGCCAAAGUACACAGCAAGAAGUAACAAUCUCCUGUGCAACAGUAUGAACAGGAAAAAUAGCGCUCAGCAGCAGUUAAUCAAUAAGGUAGUACAAUAUACAUAAACAAGGUUACAAAAUACCACUGUUAAAAGCUCGUGCAAAGAGGGUGGAUUCAUGAGGUGCCAAACUUAUAUUAAGAGUAGUGAUAUCAGAACAAGUAGCUCUCCAAUACCAGAAUUAAAGGCCAUCUCAGAAAAAAAAGAGCCAUAAAGUGGGCCUCUAAGAGAGAGUCGGCAGAUUCAGUGAAAAUAAAAGACCCUGAUGAAACAGUGAUCACAUCCUUUGGAAUUGCUCAAUGAUUAUGGGACUAUAUUUUUUAACUUCUUUAGACUAUUGUUGUCUAGAAUCAGUUCCUCAUGAUUCCUGACAGCUCCACAAGAAAUAAUAAAACAAAAAGCAAAAUAACAAUAACAAUAACAAUAAUAAUAAUUCCUCAACAUCAGAAAAACGAGCUAGAUCAGUUGACCACCUGAUUAGUGGGUGCAGCAAAAUUUCACAAACUAACUACCUACAACCAUGACCGCAUUGCUAAGAUCAUUCACUGGAAAUUGUGCCAGAAGUUUGGAUUUGAGUACAGCAAAAACCACUGGGAACAUCAGGUUGAGAAAGUUUUAGAGAAUGAGAAACUCAAGAUCUUGUAGGACUUCAGGAUUCAGACUGACAGGCACUUGGUCCACAACACACCUGACAUAACAAUAGUUGAAAAGAAAAAAGUAUGGUUCGUUGACAUUGCAAUACCUGGUGGUGCACGGAUUGAAGAUAAGCAGCAAGAAAAAAUCACAAAGUACCGGGACUUUCAAAUUGAAGUUGAGCGACUGUGGAAAAAGAAAUCGUGUGUUGUCCCGAUUGUAAUUGGAGCCCUUGGAGCAAUACCCAAAGGGCUACCCCACUAUUUAGAAAUUCAAAAUUUACCGGACUUGAACAUUUUGACUCUACAAAAAACCACCUUAUUCGGAACAGCUUACAUCCUCCGACGAUACCUUAACAGUUCCUAGGUCCUUGGUUAGGACUCGAGCUGCUGAGCUAUUAACCAGCCUCAAAGGCUGUGAAUCUCACUAAAGAUUAACCAAUAAUAAUAAUUCCUCAACAUCAGAAAAAUGAGCUAGAUUGGAUCAAAAAAUUAUGAGCACCUUCUUUCAAACAAGAGACACAUCUGGCUUUUGAGCUAUAUUUUAUGAAGGCCAACAUCUGGAGGAGCACCCAUAACUUUAGGAGACCAAAUAUAACCUGUGGCCACAGACUGUGUCUCUUCACUCUUGUGGCAGUGUUUUCUUUUUUACUGAGGGCCAAUACAGUCAUUUUCAUAUCUUGAACUUUACAUAUUUAUUUUGCUAUCCUGUGAAUUUGCAACAUAUUUCAAAGUAUAUUUUGAGUUUUAUUCAUAGCUGAUCCUCUUAAAUAAAAAUGUAUCAUUCAAAAAGAUUUUAAAUAUAAGACUUUAUGUACAAGAGAUUUACUUGAUGAUCUAAAGCAGAACUGUCAAACUCCCAGCCUACGGGCUGGAUGCGUCAUGCACGGGCCACGCCCAUGCCCAGUUUAGCAAAGGGAGAAAAAGUCCUGAUAUAUCACAUGAUGCUGCUGCGUCGAUGUGAGUUUGACACCCCUGAUCUAAAGCAACAAGGAGGCAGUUGGCUGCUUACUGGUUUCUCUCUCUCUCUCAUUCUCUCUAAUAAAUUAUUACUAAAAGUUUCAUGAAAAAGUAUUGAACAUUUAAACCUCUGAGGAAAAAUUGGUGAACUGAAUAUGGCUCCAAUGAGAGCAAAUAUGAUGAUCACGGUGGAAUGAAGAGCCAACAAAUGAAUCAGCUGUUUGGAAUUCCUCUCAGAACAAGAAGAGGACUUUGGAUCCACAUGUCCUCCAAACAGUUGAUCCUUGUGAAGAAAUUAUAAGAUAGUAAUCUCUGAUGGGUUUAGAGCUCUGGGAAAUGAGGGAAUAGCCAUCUUGCUCAAGCUAUAUUUGGCACCUUUAAAAGGACACUGGGUUCACAUGCUACUUUUCUAAUCACUUUUGCAAAUAGCUUAUCAACUGCUUUAACUGUUAACUGUUUUAGAAACCUUUGGAUUAACAAAUUGUACAAGUUUCGAAUGUGAAUUUACUUCAAUCCUGUCAGAAUAUUCAUGAACUGGAAUAGGGCAUAGUAACAAGGUCAGCCAAUGAAUAGGCAUGGCAGCAGAUCAGCCAAUGAGGACUGUUUGGAAAC